GUUAUAAAGCAGGAGGUGUUGGGCCCCGCAGACGCGUGGGAGAGUGAGGUCUUGAGCUGCUGGAGCUGAUACGCUGCCGCCAUGGAGCUCCUGGCAGCUGCCGAAAUAUUUCUGGAGGCCCCAGUGAGAUUCCAACCAUUCUGGCCUCUUGAGCCACCAGAGCCAGGGCGAGGCCGCGCGGGGGUUGGGGGAGCCCAAGGAGCGAACGAGGUGACUGUGCCACCUGAUGGUAUCCCGGGUCCUCCUUCGUGAGUGGUGUUCCUUACUUCUGGCCAGCCCAACCCCGACGGGACUCGGCGGAAGGCGUCCAGACAAGGAACUCCCAUGGAAUAGGUUUGAGGACAGCCCCAUGUAGACCCGUGACGCCGGAUGCGAGGACAUCUUGGUGUCGCCAUCGGGAAGGCUGUGGGCGGUUGUACCUCCUGCUGGAGUCUGUGUUCCAGUCUGAGAGCUGCUAGCUUGGCCUCUGUCCCUGAAGGUGUGUCUUCCAGCCAAGGGGCCGCCCCCCAUCCCCCACCUUGGCCGGGGCAGCACCCUGAGGACCGUGUCCAGGCCCUUCCUGAGGCGGAGCUAGCAGGCUGUGCUGUCCUGUCGGGGUGCGGCGAGGGCCCUCCCAGAACCAAGGGGAGGCAGCGCAGCGUGACCAGCAGCCUGACAGCAUCAGGGUCCACGUGCAACUUGGUGACAAAGACCAUCCUGCUGGGAUGUACAGAAUGGGGUUCUUCCAGGAGUCCAUCAGCCUGGCCGUCCUCUCUGUGAGCUCAGAAGAGACUGCCCCCGAGAUCGAUGCCAUGGGCAGCCCCCGCAGCAUGUUCCCAGGCUGGGGUCUAAUUGGAGCUGCAGCUGCCAGCCCACAGCAACGCUGGAUCUGAGCCGCAUCUGUGACCUCUACGUCAGCUUGCAGCAACACUGGAUCCUUAACCCACUGAGCGAGGCCAGGGAUCGAACCCCCGUCCUCAUGGAUGCUGGUCGGCACCAUGCAGCACCCUGAAUUCCACGGCAGCCCACGGAGAUGGGGGGAUGGAGAAGGAGGUGGCUGUGCUCAGGCGGCCCCUUCAGGAACCAUGCUUGGGGACCCCCAUGAUGUCCAGCACUGGGCUCUGAACUUCUGUGAAGACGUGGUGCUCCCCCGGGACCUUUGACACCCAGGGGCCGUUCCUCCAGAAGUUUGGCAGCCCCACCAGCCCCCUCGCUCCCGGGGGGGGCCUUGCCCCUCCAGCCUCCGCGCUGCUCUCCGCACAGAGCUGCCGUGGCCGUGGCUGAGCGAGCCCUGGGUGGGGCGAGCAACCUCUUCGACACACACAGCGCUCCUGGCCAUGGCGCAGCGCUUCCGGCAGAACCGCAGUGAACUCAUGACCACCUGGACCUGUGGGUCUAUGACGGGGGGAGGGGGGGCCCAGCCCUGUCCCUGGAUUCCGGGGAGCAGAUGCUGCGGGCGACCUGACCGGCGACACUGUCUUCAGCUACUGCUGCAAGGCUCUGCAAGACGCUGCUGGCCUGGCGCCAGCGCUGGAAGUCCUUCCUGCACUUGGAGACCACUGAGCCGCCCUCUGGCCCUGGAUCGCCAUGGAGGAGGGCUUCCAACUGGUGUGUGAGCUGGGCACGCUGGACUGGAUCUACCACGAGCCAAGCCCAAGUGCCUGGCUCCCAAAGACAUGCCUGUGGCGGUGCCUACUGACGGCCGCGCCCUCGGAGCUGUCCCUCUCCCUGGUCAGCCUGCUGGUCAAGGGCAUGACGGUGCUGAAGAUCCAGACCAUGGCCGCCAAGCUCCUGCUGGGGCCCAACCCGAUGAACACAAAUCGUGGGCUGGCUGCUGAGCCGCGGUGUGUCCAGGGAGCGGGUGGACCGGUGAACCACCAGGGUCCUCCUGGAGCUGCCCAUCAAAGGGGCCAAGCACAGCCGGGGCUGAGGCCCCCCACGUGCUGGUGGAGGAGCAGCCCCUGCCUCCCCGGUCCUCUGACCAGGCCUGCAGGGAGGAGCUGCAGUGCACCAGGACUACGCACCCCACAAUCCAGGCCACUUUCUGCUUGGUGCUGGGAGUGGAGCAGGGGCCCAUGUCGGAGAGACACAAAGUCUUGGCCAAAGCGCCUCCUGAUCGUCCCCAGGAUAGACAGAGGGACAGCACCCCCAGCUCCAGCCAUCUCCUGCCAGGCCAGACCCUGACCACGCAUCCUGAAAACCUCGGAGAGGGUCCUUGCCCCCGCCGCCGUGGGCAUCACUGGCCUGAGCUGGUGGAGAGCAGCCAGUUGGCUGGCGUUGCUGGUUGAGGGGAGAGAGUCCGUUAAAUAUUUCAGUCUGUUACACCUUAGCCUGAUAAGCGGGGUGGGUGGGCACCCACCGUUGUGCCACACGGGCCCCCAACGCACUACAGGCCAAGCUUGAGACCCCGCAUCCCACCCCGCAAAAGCACCUUCAAGUUUGUGCCCUUGCCCUUGAGGUUUUUUCUUUAACGCGGUGGCUGUACCUGAUACUUGACUUUAGGCGUGUGCGGCGCUUGGGUUUAGUGUCCUCACUACUGCUUUUGUGAUGGUUUUUCUCUAAGUUGUUUUUUUUGUUUGUUUUUUUUGCAAUGCCCUUUUCUUGAAAUGGAAUUUUUUUGCCUUUUGCUUUCCUGGGAAAAGGGCAGCCAGUCCCUUCCAGUUUCUCUCGCUGCACGCGUGGCUGGAGUGUCUGCAUCACCAGAGUUCCAGCAUUGUGAGGAUGGACAGCCGUGGCAGGUGGUGCCGGACACCAUUAAAGAGCCCAUGUGC
rnacentral:lncRNA from 1 species